UGGGGAAUAUUGGACAAUGGGCGAAAGCCUGAACCAGCCAUGCCGCGUGUGUGAAGAAGGUCUUCGGAUUGUAAAGCACUUUAAGUUGGGAGGAAGGGCAUUAACCUAAUACGUUAGUGUUUUGACGUUACCGACAGAAUAAGCACCGGCUAACUCUGUGCCAGCAGCCGCGGUAAUACAGAGGGUGCAAGCGUUAAUCGGAAUUACUGGGCGUAAAGCGCGCGUAGGUGGUUUGUUAAGUUGGAUGUGAAAUCCCCGGGCUCAACCUGGGAACUGCAUUCAAAACUGACUGACUAGAGUAUGGUAGAGGGUGGUGGAAUUUCCUGUGUAGCGGUGAAAUGCGUAGAUAUAGGAAGGAACACCAGUGGCGAAGGCGACCACCUGGACUAAUACUGACACUGAGGUGCGAAAGCGUGGGGAGCAAACA
rnacentral:rRNA from 1 species